UACGGGGGGGGGCAAGCGUUGUUCGGAAUUACUGGGCGUAAAGGGCUCGUAGGCGGCCAACUAAGUCGGAUGUGAAAUCCCCAGGCUUAACCUGGGAACUGCAUCCGAUACUGGAUGGCUUGAAUUCGGGAGAGGGAUGCAGAAUUCCAGGUGUAGCGGUGAAAUGCGUAGAUAUCUGGAGGAAUACCGGUGGCGAAGGCGGCAUCCUGGACCGGCAUUGACGCUGAGUGAGCGAAAGCCAGGGGAGCAAACGGG
rnacentral:rRNA from 1 species